rnacentral:rRNA from 1 species
CCUACGGGUGGCAGCAGUGAGGAAUAUUGGUCAAUGGACGAGAGUCUGAACCAGCCAAGUAGCGUGAAGGAUGACUGCACUAUGGGUUGUAAACUUCUUUUAUAUGGGAAUAAAACGUUCCACGUGUGGGAUUUUGUAUGUACCAUAUGAAUAAGGAUCGGCUAACUCCGUGCCAGCAGCCGCGGUAAUACGGAGGAUUCGAGCGUUAUCCGGAUUUAUUGGGUUUAAAGGGAGCGUAGGUGGAUUGUUAAGUCAAUUGUGAAAGUUUGCGGCUCAACCGUAAAAUUGCAGUUGAAACUGGCAGUCUUGAGUACAGGAGAGGUGGGCGGAAUGCGUGGUGUAGCGGUGAAAUGCUUAGAUAUCACGAAGAACUCCGAUUGCGAAGGCAGUUCACUGGACUGCAACUGACACUGAGGCUCGAAAGUGUGGGUAUCAAACAGGAUUAGAUACCCGGGUAGUC